GCCUUGGUGGUGCAGUGGUAGCACGUCGGCAUUCACUCGCUGAAGACCCGAGUUCGAAACUUGGCUAGGGCA